AAACGCUUGAAGUCAGACUUGCUUUUCGGGGUUUACUCCGGUUGGCAGGCCAGCAUCAGUUUUCUGGGGCGGAAAAUCACGGUUAGAAGGUAGCAGUUUCGGCUGUGUUAUAGCUUUCCGUUGGAUACGUCCUGGGGGACUGAGGAACGCAGUGUGCUUUUAGCGAGGGCUUCGGCCCUUUCACACUUAGGAUGCUGGUGGAAUGGCUUUAAACGA
rnacentral:rRNA from 1 species